UUCGAUGCAACGCGAAAAACCUUACCUACCCUUGACAUGUCUGGAAUCCUGAAGAGAUUUGGGAGUGCUCGAAAGAGAGCCAGAACACAGGUGCUGCAUGGCCGUCGUCAGCUCGUGUCGUGAGAUGUUGGGUUAAGUCCCGCAACGAGCGCAACCCUUGUCAUUAGUUGCUACGAAAGGGCACUCUAAUGAGACUGCCGGUGACAAACCGGAGGAAGGUGGGGAUGACGUCAGGUCAUCAUGGCCCUUAUGGGUAGGGCUACACACGUCAUACAAUGGCCGGGACAGAGGGCUGCCAACCCGCGAGGGGGAGCUAAUCCCAGAAACCCGGUCGUAGUCCGGAUCGUAGUCUGCAACUCGACUGCGUGAAGUCGGAAUCGCUAGUAAUCGCGGAUCAGCUUGCCGCGGUGAAUACGUUCCCGGGUCUUGUACACACCGCCCGU
rnacentral:rRNA from 1 species